rnacentral:rRNA from 1 species
UACGUAGGGUGCGAGCGUUAAUCGGAAUUACUGGGCGUAAAGCGUGCGCAGGCGGUUUUGUAAGCCAGAUGUGAAAUCCCCGGGCUUAACCUGGGAAUGGCAUUUGGGACUGCAGGGCUGGAGUGUGGCAGAGGAGACUGGAAUUCCUGGUGUAGCAGUGAAAUGCGUAGAUAUCAGGAGGAAUACCGAUGGCGAAGGCAGGUCUCUGGGCUGACACUGACACUCAUGCACGAAAGCGUGGGGAGCAAACAGG